GUUUGAGUAGCUAGCUAAGGAUACCAUCACACCACACCGCCACACAAGAAUACGGCCCUCUAAGGAGGCAUCAACACUCCCCCCCCGCCACACAAGAAUACGGCCCUCUAAGGAGGCAUCAACACUGCGGCCAGAGAUACAAGGGAAAUAAGGUCCUUCUUUCUGGGGUGUUUCUGCCCGUCCAGACCCGCAGGAACAAACCCCCCCACACACACACACUCCACCCUCCGCUCUAAGGCCCGCGCUGGGACACCUUCUCCACGCCUCCCGGGGGAGGGCGGUGAGCAAACUCGUCUCGGGUUCUCCUACUAAGGAGGAGUGGGGUGACGCCGGCGCGGGAAGGAGAGGAGCGCGAAGGAGGCCUGGCAGUGCCCGCCCAACCCUCCCCAGCCUCCGCGGGCCCCUGGCGCGAGCAUCCGUGACAAGGCUGCCCGCGGGGCCCACUUGCAGGGAUGACAGCGCCUGAGGAGCCCACUCGGGCUCAGCUCCCGGAAGACCCCAGCGAUCGGGGUCCCUGGGGUGACUCUGCGCGCAGGGCCCCGCCGAUUUGGGAUCAGACGGCGGAAGGGGCGCUCCCGCCUGGAGGAGGAGGAAGAAGAAGAAGAAGAAGAAGGAGAAGGAGAAGUUGUUUACUGAUCACAAUGUCUUCUUUUGGUAUUUCUUAAGAUGUUGGAGCUGCACUAAUUUCAAGACCUGAGAAAUGAAGUAUUGAUAUAAAUCCAUCAUAAAGUGUAACGUGGUCUAAUGAAAACUAUACUUAAUCUUAGAAAUUUUGUGUUUCAGGCUCUCCCUAGGGUAAGGAAAAGAAUGCUUCCAAUGUAAACUAAAUUGUGUUUACCUCUUCCCCCACCCCAGAACAUGGGUAUUUUGUUUUUUUAAAAUACUUUAUUUUUUUAAGUAAUCUCCACACCUAACAGACUCAACUCACAACCCCUAGAUCAGGAGUUGCACCCUAUACUGACUAAACCAGCCAGGCACCUCUGAAAAUGUGGUUUCUUUACCUUAUUUUCCUCUCCGAGAGCAAUGUCUUUCCUACUACUCCUAGGAGAACUCCCUGAGAGAGUCCCCUUUGAAAAGUCCCUGUAGAUACUUAAAAAUAAGAUAUUACCACUUUUUCUUUCUUUUCUGACCUGCUUGUAUGAUGUCAUUGUCAUUUGACUCUCAAGAAUCAACUGUCCAUUGGUAUUGCUGAAAUUUGUGUUUAGAGAAACAAAAGUGAAGAAAGCCGUCUUAAACCUAAAGAUGGAAAAUGCAGAGUUCAAAGAAAUAAAAAAGGGGCAAAUUGUUC
rnacentral:lncRNA from 1 species